rnacentral:rRNA from 1 species
UUGAUCAUGGCUCAGAUUGAACGCUGGCGGCAGGCCUAACACAUGCAAGUCGAACGGUAACAGGAAGAAGCUUGCUUCUUUGCUGACGAGUGGCGGACGGGUGAGUAAUGUCUGGGAAACUGCCUGAUGGAGGGGGAUAACUACUGGAAACGGUAGCUAAUACCGCAUAACGUCGCAAGACCAAAGAGGGGGACCUUCGGGCCUCUUGCCAUCGGAUGUGCCCAGAUGGGAUUAGCUUGUUGGUGGGGUAACGGCUCACCAAGGCGACGAUCCCUAGCUGUCUGAGAGGAUGCCACCCACUGGAACUGAGACACGGUCCAGACUCCUACGGGAGGCACAGUGGGGAAUAUUGCCAAUGGGCGCAACCUGAUGCAGCCAUGCCGCGUGUAUGAAGAAGCCUUCGGGUUGUAAAGUACUUUCAGCGGGGAGGAAGGGAGUAAAGUUAAUACCUUUGCUCAUUGACGUUACCCCAGAAGAAGCACCGGCUAACUCCGUGCCACAGCCGCGGUAAUACGGAGGGUCAAGCGUUAAUCGGAAUUACUGGGCGUAAAGCGCACCAGGCGGUUUGUUAAGUCAGAUGUGAAAUCCCCGGGCUCAACCUGGGAACUGCAUCUGAUACUGCAAGCUUGAGUCUCGUAGAGGGGGGUAGAAUUCCAGGUGUAGCGGUGAAA